rnacentral:lncRNA from 1 species
UGUGUGAUGGGGCCGGAGCCAGUAAACAGGCUUCCUUCUCGCUCUGCUGUAUAAGAAGAAGAAGUAGGAGAAACAAAAUAAGGAGGAGAAGAAGUAAAAUAAUUUGAGAAGGAAUAUGAAGAAACUGAAACUAGCCUGAGAAGGAAGAUACUGAGUCAGAUGGAGCCAUUUAUAUAUGGAGAUCCAGGAUUUAUAAGAUCCAUACCAUUGAAUUUGAAGUAAGGAUACGAUCAAGCUGAUAAUCCAAAGUGCACUAACUUCUAAGGACGGAAAUGUUUCUCUGGGGCUAUCAUUGCACCCUCGCUCUCUGGAAUUUCGGUAUCAUGAGAACACAUAAGUAAGAGCCAAAAUUCAUAGGGAUUCUGCCUGGAGAGGAACACAGGGAUUCUGAAAUAACCAUGACAUACAUAAGUACCUCCAAUUAUUUGCCUCUCAGACAAAGCCAGCAGCUGUUGAAAUAUGGUAAGAAAAAUGGUUCAGGGGUUUUCCCCCAUGACUCAAGACAAGCAUUUACAUUAUUUACACACUCAAUGUCUCUUCUGACUUAUGAUUGCCUUACAAUCUAUGGAAUAUAUUUAGUGUCCCUGUGGAAGCAAUUAUACAUGAAACAUCAACAUAUAUUUAUAUAGUAGACAGCACUUUCAUAGGUCCCUGCAGUGUAUUUUAACAGUAGUGGAAACUAAAGUUUUGGUGUAAUGUGUUUUUAUCUAUCAUUCAGAUCAAAGAAUACCCAGUACUUGAAAAGUUUAGAAAGCAGUUGAAAGUUACAUAGA